rnacentral:rRNA from 1 species
UACGAAGGGGGCUAGCGUUGCUCGGAAUUACUGGGCGUAAAGCGCACGUAGGCGGUCUUUUAAGUCGGGGGUGGAAAUCCUGGAGCUCAACUCCAGAACUGCCUUCGAUACUGGAAGACUUGAGUCCGGGAGAGGUGAGUGGAACUGCGAGUGUAGAGGUGAAAUUCGUAGAUAUUCGCAAGAACACCAGUGGCGAAGGCGGCUCACUGGCCCGGUACUGACGCUGAGGUGCGAAAGCGUGGGGAGCAAACAGG